GGCACUGCUCCUUGCAGCUAGUCACUGCAGGGUUGUCAGAGCUGUUGCUGGACGUGCAGAAGGGAGAGAUGAAACAUGGACCGAGGGCGGCAGCCAAACGGGAUCCUCAAAACUUGUUUGCUGCUGAAAUGGGAGAAUUGAAUAUUUUUCCACUUAAUCUAAAAAUUGGCCUUGGUUUCUUGGAAUGUUUCUCACCUCCUCUCAGCAUCAUCUACUGGAAAGAAGGCUCAAGAGAAAGUUGGGGAAGAUCUAUCAAUGAAACACCCGAGGAAACCCACCCUGAUACCUUCAUUUCUCCAUUUGUAAGACCAGCAUAUUCAUACCCGUGUCACCUUUUUCUUUAGAAUAACAUGAAAAUGAAUAUGCAAAAGCAUUAAGCUUUCAGAGGAAAGAUGCUAUGCAAAUUUGAGGUGACCUCACUAUUACAAUAAUAAUUUUUUUUUGCACUAAGACGAAAUUUUUCCUUAUCCUAAAGCCUUCCUACCAAGGUAGACUUUUUUCAAUGUGGGUUUUUGUGAUUUAAAUUCACCAAGCACUGAUAGUUUCAAGUUUAUUUCAGUAUUAAGCAGGAAAGCAGUUUCUGCAUGAAAUGUGAAAACUAAAAUACCAUAGUAAUGAAAAAGAUUCCGCAUCCUCAGGUGCAGCCCACGUUGUGGUGUAAUGCAAAUCUAUGGCUAUACUGUAUCACAGCGAAUAAAUCCAUUUGGAGAAAAAGGCACCUGGUGAAAGGCCACAGUGCAAUGGAAUGCAAUGCUGCUAUGUGCAAUGCUGCUUACAAGAAAACUUUGGGGGGAACACUGCCCCUGAAACUGCACUCCUUGAAACCGAGCAAAGGUGCCAUCGCUAAUGAUUAGCAAGACGCUCCGGAUGGUUUGCAUCGAACUCCACCUGCUAUGUGAAAACCCCAUGCUUUUCUCACUUUCCCAUUCAAGCUGCUUAGCAGUUGGGUCCUCUCCUCUGAGUGUGGUUAUGUGUCAGUUUGACUUCUGUGUGCCCUGCGAUUUCGUUGUUUUCUUCUGCCCUGCCACAGCAAAUGACCAGUGGAGGCAACCAGCGGACGGAGGAAAAGGGCAGGUCCCUGCAUCCAUCUCAGCGCCCUGCAGCCGGCGGCCUGUCCUUUCAGGCGGGAGUUCCCAGCGGCGUUCCUAGGUGUUUUGAAUGUGUGCCCCGGGGCUGGGGGAAGCCUCGUGCAGUUCUGCUGCUGUGGGAGGCAGGGGGGACUGGAGGGGACGGGAGCAGUGUGAGGCUUUCAUGUGCAGAGGGGACAUGAGGACAUCUGGAUGGCAUCCCUGUGAGCAGGGCUCCCGCUGCAGGCCUUUGAAAACCCCGCUGCCCUGGCUCCCCAGUGCCUUGGAACUUUCUCCCUGGAGAAUGCAGAAAAGCCAGUGCCCUUGAUUUCUUAGACAUCUACAGCUUCGACACGUGCAGGGUUAUCCAGGAGCAGUGAGGUUUGGGGUGAGGGCCUGAGCACUUUCUGAAAAGUGCUUGUUUCUAAGAACCUGGAACUAUGAGUGAGGAGUGACAUGAGUUCUGCCCUCAAGUCCUCUGAUAACCAGCUGUGCAGUCUUGAACAAGUGACUUCAUCUCUUCAUCUUUAAAAUAAACCUUUUGGGCCAAAUGA
rnacentral:lncRNA from 1 species